rnacentral:rRNA from 1 species
GAUCCGGGGGUGUCCGAAUGGGGAAACCCGGCUGGGUUAAUAUCCAGUCACUCGUAUCUGAAUUCAUAGGAUACGAAGAGGCAGACCAGGGGAACUGAAACAUCUAAGUACCCUGAGGAAGAGAAAACAAAAGUGAUUCCGUCAGUAGCGGCGAGCGAACGCGGAACAGCCUAAACCAAGGAGCUUGCUCCUUGGGGUUGUGGGACGUCUCACAUGGAGUUACAAAGGUUCAGAUUAGACGAAGAGGUCUGGAAAGGCCCGCCAAAGAAGGUAAAAGCCCUGUAAUCGAAAGUGUGAACCCUCCGAGACGGAUCCCGAGUAGUGCGGGGCACGUGAAACCCCGUAUGAAUCUGCCAGGACCAUCUGGUAAGGCUAAAUACUCCCUAGUGACCGAUAGUGAAGCAGUACCGUGAGGGAAAGGUGAAAAGCACCCCGGAAGGGGAGUGAAAUAGAACCUGAAACCGUGUGCUUACAAGAAGUCAGAGCCC